ACACACACACACACACACACACACACACAGAGAGAGAGAGAGAGAGAGAGAGCGAGAGAGCGAGAGAGAGAUUGGCACAGGGGUAAUUGAUUUCUUCUGUAGUUUAUUAUCAUGACUUUUUUGUUCCUUCCUGGCUGUCCAAACAUAUUGAAGGGAGGAUCGAGGGCCAGACGACUUAAUAGACUUGGCAGCAUUCAUGCCCAGAGAACAGGGAAGAGAAAAAUAUCAAGGCUUACUUAAUGGCAAAAAUGAAAGCACACAUGGAUUGGGCUGCACUCAAUGUGGAGUCCCUUUAACUGUCAGAAAAAAAUCAGAGAAUCCAUGCCAAUCAAACACCCUUUGAUGAGAUCUUCUAUAAAAAGUAAUGGAAUCAAACCAGCAUGAAGUAAAGUUUGAGGAAGAAAAAAGGAGGAUAAGCAGAGAAAGAGUGCAUCUGUGGGAAGCCAAAUAUGCUCCUUUGUUGAUCUUGCGAGCCCACUCAUUGCUUGCAGGUGUAAUAACACAGUCUGAUCCAGCGCUCCUGCUGCUCACAGAGCAGAUAUUUCUACACCCCUCUCGUCCCUCUCCUCAGGAAAACAGCGGCUCAAAGUGAUUCCAGCCAGCUCGGUGAAAGGCCGUCUGACGCAGGUGGAGCUGCACGGUGAGAGAGGGAUGGCAGAGCAAACAGCCCUCACAGCAAGCAGGUAGGACCCAAAUGCAGACCGCACACUGCAGGAUGACUUCAAAGAAUUAUUAAGACAACAAGGCUCAGGUCAACUGUAGAAAAGAGGACAAGGAAACAGGGAGCAGGAUGCCCUGACAGGACAUGAUGCUAAAAGAGAAGUUUGAAGAAAAAGUCAUUCUGAGAUGCUAAAUGUGUUGCAGUCUUCCGUGGAAUAAAUCCCUGUCAACAAGAAGCAACAGUAUAUUCUCAAAAAGGAAAAGGAAGUAGUUUGCAAGGGCGGGGACCUAACAUAAACAAAAUGAAGCCACACAAGCCACUGAGAUAGCUGUGAAGAUGUUGAUCAAUCUGAUGAUGUGUGAACACUGUGAGCAGGAUGAGCCAUCAACUGGACCAAGAUGCAGUCCCCUUACAAAGUUUCAAUUCAAUGAAGCAGAC